rnacentral:lncRNA from 1 species
UAGUUUCAAUUUUCAACUAGACAAAUCUUACUUAAUAGAUUUAUAGGAAUUUCAUACAUGCGUUUUCAGUUUGCGACAAAAUAACGAGUCUCAAUAUCAUAAUUAUAUUGUCUCAAUAUUCACUAAUGGACUUGACGCUUCUCAAAAAUAAUGAUCAUAAUAAUAGUAUUCCAAAUUAAGUAAGUGGAAUUGAACUAUGUUCAAAACUCUUAUAAUAAACAGAUG